GAUCAUGGCUCAGGAUGAACGCUAGCGGCAGGCCUAAUACAUGCAAGUCGAACGAGAUUGUUUUAGCAAUAGAACAUGAAAGUGGCGCACGGGUGCGUAACACGUAUGCAAUCUACCUUUAAUAGGAGAAUAGCUUCGAGAAAUCGGAAUUAAUACUCCAUAACAUAAUUGAGUGGCAUCACUUGGUUAUCAAACCUCCGGGGAUUAAAGAUGAGCAUGCGCAACAUUAGCUAGUUGGUAAGGUAAUGGCUUACCAAGGCUACGAUGUUUAGGGGGUCUGAGAGGAUGAUCCCCCACACUGGUACUGAGACACGGUCCAGACUCCUACGGGAGGCAGCAGUGGGGAAUUUUCCGCAAUGGGCGAAAGCCUGACGGAGCAAUACCGCGUGAGGGAUGAAAGCCUGUGGGUUGUAAACCUCUUUUCUCAAGGAAGAAGUUCUGACGGUACUUGAGGAAUAAGCAUCGGCUAACUCUGUG
rnacentral:rRNA from 1 species